rnacentral:rRNA from 1 species
GACGAACGCUGGCGGCGUGCUUAACACAUGCAAGUCGAACGGAAAGGCCUCUUUCGGGGGGUACUCGAGUGGCGAACGGGUGAGUAACACGUGAGUAACCUGCCCUUGACUUUGGGAUAACUUCAGGAAACUGGGGCUAAUACCGGAUAGGAGCUCCUGCUGCAUGGUGGGGGUUGGAAAGUUUCGGCGGUUGGGGAUGGACUCGCGGCUUAUCAGCUUGUUGGUGGGGUAGUGGCUUACCAAGGCUUUGACGGGUAGCCGGCCUGAGAGGGUGACCGGCCACAUUGGAACUGAGAUACGGCCCAGACUCCUACGGGAGGCAGCAGUGGGGAAUAUUGCACAAUGGGUGGAAGCCUGAUGCAGCAACGCCGUGUGCGGGAUGACGGCCUUCGGGUUGUAAACCGCUUUCGCUCAUGACGAAGCUUUGUGUGACGGUAGUGGGUAAAGAAGCACCGGCUAACUACGUG